CAGUCGCCGCGGGAAUACAGAGGGUGCAAGCGUUAAUCGGAAUUACUGGGCGUAAAGCGCGCGUAGGUGGUUCGUUAAGUUGGAUGUGAAAUCCCCGGGCUCAACCUGGGAACUGCAUCCAAAACUGGCGAGCUAGAGUAGGGCAGAGGGUGGUGGAAUUUCCUGUGUAGCGGUGAAAUGCGUAGAUAUAGGAAGGAACACCAGUGGCGAAGGCGACCACCUGGGCUCAUACUGACACUGAGGUGCGAAAGAGUGGGGAGCAAACAGGAUUAGAUACCCGUGUAGUCCCUGUCUCUUAUAC
rnacentral:rRNA from 1 species